AUUUUAAUAACAACCUUGAAGUCACACUAACUAUUGUUAUUUCUAAAAAUAAUCAAAUGAGCCUGGGUAUCCUAGAAGGAACAUUGUUGUGCAUGUUGUUGAUAUUUCAGUGGUAGCAGGAGCCCUGUGAAUUGAAUUUAGUUACUAAUAGGAGCUAGCUUAGCUCCACGUAGAUAUUUUAAAGUAUCAGAAACAUAAUGACUUAGGAAAACUAAAUCCAUACAUUGCUAGGGUUUACAAUUUAACCACUCAGUUCAACAUUUGAUUACUAAUAGUCUUGCUCAAAUCUAGAAUAUAUUUCCCUGUUUACUAUUAUCAUGAAUUAUGUGUCUUUAUGUUCAUUUUUCUCUCUCUUUCACUA
rnacentral:lncRNA from 1 species